ensembl:lncRNA
UGAUGUGGUGAGUUCUAGGCCAUCCAAGGCUACAUAUCAGCACUGUCAAGACAGCCAGCCAGCCAGCCAGCCAGCCAGCCAGCCAGCCAGCCAAGAAAUUCCAAACAAAACAGCCCCAAGCAAAAACCAAAACAAAACUAUAAGCAUUUGGAAUUUGGUAUUUAAGAUGCUCCAGCCAUGCUCCUGAUGGGAGAAGGAUAAUUACGGUCUUGAAAGGUUACAGCCCAUCAUUGCACAGAAGUCAAGGCAGCAGUAACUUGAAGCAGCUAAUCACCUUGGAGCCAAGAACAGAGACCCACGAACACUUGCAUGCUUUCUAGAGCUCUGUUGGACUUCUCUACUGUAUACAGUCCAGCACCCAAGCUUAGGGAAUGGUGUUGCCCACAAGGAGUGUGCUCUCCUACCUCUGUGGCACUACCUUUCUGGAACUUCUCUGGCACAGCUGAGGUGAUACCAUCCAGUGGAGGUCUCAGUAUUUGUGGGCCCUCAUGACUCUCUGCUGUUCAGCCAAUCAGAGGAAGAGACAUGGAGAGACAGGCUCAGAGUGGCUCUGAGAGUACCCAAGGUGCUCAGGUGCUGCCUACCCUUCCAGACUGCAUUGCCUCUUGCUCCUCGAAGUAGAACUGAGCUGACCAGACCAUUUCCCAGGCAAAGACUUUCAAACUGAGAUAUGUCAAGUGCCCCUAUCAAGGUCAGGUAGAGUAUAAAUGGAUGUGAAAAUACCAGAUUUCAAGCUCACAAUAUUUGGUUCCCUUCUCUGGAAUGUACCUGCACCACAGUUAAAACUAUGAGAGUAAGACAGACAUACAGCACGAUGAGUAGGGAGCACCAAGCAGCACGGCGUGUCUUAACUGUACUGUACAGUAGAAAUAAAUGACCUCAGCAGAAGGUCAACACAGUAGAUCAUGUUCAUCUGUCUGGAAACGCUAAUGAACUUUUAAAAAGAACAAGAUAAAGCUGUACUCCUAUAAAGAAGUUUGCUCAAGAGCCAUCAAAUGAGAAAGCCUUGUGAGCCAAAUUGCAUCAUAGUUAAAGAGAUGCACGUUCAUCUAAUUGGCAUACAUAUUCAAUUAAAAGCAAAUUUGAGAAAAUGCUGGAAAACACCCAAACUAUUGCUAGC